CAACCAGACUCAACAUCUGGACUCAACUCAACUCUGUCACACAUGUUCAGAACUCUACCAGGAAUCACAUACUGUAGUGCUUGCUGCAGUGCUACCACUUGUUAUAGUGGUGGUCGUGAUUGUACUAGGUGUGAUCUAUUUCAUAAUGAAAAAGAAACGAGGUUCAUAUAUAAAUCCCAAUGCACCAUAAUCUGAUGGAGUGAAAAACAUUAUGCACAAAUGAUGAUCUGACAAUCUAACAGACUGCAGUGGCUAUGACAGAUCUCUGACACAUAUGAUGCUGUGUCUCAGUACUCUAAGAUCAUGAACAAAGAAAUUUUAUAAACAAAACUUGGUACAACAUUAUCAUGAUUUUAAUGCCAUUUUUAUAAAAACUGUGACUGCAUUGAAUUAAUUUGCAUUAUGUAUAUGCAGCAUUGAUUAAAAAAAAGGUACCAGAGUAAUUGUUGUAUAUAGCAAGUGUUAAGCUUUUUGUUGCUGGAUCCUGAUAUAUUUUUUGAUAUGCUUUUACAUAUCUGUAAUAUCAUUUAUGUGGUCUCUUUUCUUUGACUGGAUGGCAAUGUUGUAUCUGUUUUAACUGAAUACUUUAAUCACAUCUCUACUGGGGCUAUUACAGACAUAUAUCAGGACAAAGAGACACAAUUUGUCAGAAACUGUAAAAUUAAUUUUCCUAUAAUUAUCCUGCCCAGACUUGAGAAAGAGCUGAUCUGUUUUUUUCACAACAGAGCAGCCAACACUAGCCUUGUGACUGUCUUGCUAAAUAACAAAUUCAUUUGUAUUACAGUGUUAAAGGGAUAGUCCACCCACAAAUGAAAAUGUGAUGUUUAUCUGCUUACCCCCAGAGCAUCCAAGAUGUAGGUGAGUUUGUUUCUUCAGUAGAUCACAAACGAACAUUUUUAGCUUCAGCUGUUGCAGUCUCUCAGUCGUACAAUGCUUGGCAAAUGGUAACAGAAUCUAUGAGAGAAAUAAAUAAAAAACAUGCAGAGACAAAUCCAUAUUAAACCAUGCGGCU